UACGUAGGGGGCAAGCGUUGUCCGGAUUUACUGAGUGUAAAGGGUGCUCAGGCGGGUUUGUAAGUCAGAGGUGAAACUCCGAAGCUUAACUUCGGAACUGCCUUUGAUACUGCAUCCCUGGAGUUUGAGAGAGGCGAGUGGAAUAUCUGGUGUAGCAGUGAAAUGCGUAGAUAUCAGAUAGAACACCAAUGGCGAAGGCAGCUCGCUGGCUCAUAACUGACGCUAAAGCACGAAAGUGUGGGUAGCAAACAGGAUUAGAUACCCUGGUAGUCCACACCCUAAACGAUGAAUACUAGAUGUUGGUCCCUCUGGGGUCAGUAUCACAGCUAACGCAUUAAGUAUUCCACCUGGGAAGUACGAUCGCAAGGUUGAA
rnacentral:rRNA from 1 species